rnacentral:rRNA from 1 species
AUUGAACGCUGGCGGCAUGCUUAACACGUGCAAGUCGAACGGAAACGAUGGAGCUUGCUCCAGGCGUCGAGUGGCGGACGGGUGAGUAACGCAUGGGAAUCUGCCUUUUGCUGGGGGAUAACGUAGGGAAACUUACGCUAAUACCGCAUAAGACCUAAGGGUGAAAGCGGGGGACCGAAAGGCCUCGCGGCAAGAGAUGAGCCCAUGUUGGAUUAGCUAGUUGGUGGGGUAAAGGCCUACCAAGGCGACGAUCCAUAGCUGGUCUGAGAGGAUGAUCAGCCACACUGGGACUGAGACACGGCCCAGACUCCUACGGGAGGCAGCAGUGGGGAAUAUUGGACAAUGGGGGGAACCCUGAUCCAGCAAUGCCGCGUGUGUGAAGAAGGCCUUCGGGUUGUAAAGCACUUUCAGUAGGGAGGAAAGGUGCGUAGUUAAUACCUGCGCAAUUGACGUUACCUACAGAAGAAGCACCGGCUAACUCCGUG